rnacentral:rRNA from 1 species
GACGAACGCUGGCGGCGUGCUUAACACAUGCAAGUCGAACGGAAAGGCCCUGCUUUUGUGGGGUGCUCGAGUGGCGAACGGGUGAGUAACACGUGAGUAACCUGCCCUUGACUUUGGGAUAACUUCAGGAAACUGGGGCUAAUACCGGAUAGGAGCUCCUGCUGCAUGGUGGGGGUUGGAAAGUUUCGGCGGUUGGGGAUGGACUCGCGGCUUAUCAGCUUGUUGGUGGGGUAGUGGCUUACCAAGGCUUUGACGGGUAGCCGGCCUGAGAGGGUGACCGGCCACAUUGGGACUGAGAUACGGCCCAGACUGCUACGGGAGGCAGCAGUGGGGAAUAUUGCACAAUGGGCGGAAGCCGGAUGCAGCAACGCCGCGUGCGGGAUGACGGCCUUCGGGUUGUAAACCGCUUUCGCCUGUGACGAAGCGUGAGUGACGGUAACGGGUAAAGAAGCACCGGCUAACUACGUG